UACAGAGGGUGCAAGCGUUGUUCGGAAUUACUGGGCGUAAAGCGCGUGUAGGCGGUCCAGCAAGUCGGGUGUGAAAUCCCUUGGCUUAACCAAGGAACUGCAUUCGAAACUAUUGGACUUGAGUAUCGGAGGGGGUGGCGGAAUUCCCGGUGUAGAGGUGAAAUUCGUAGAUAUCGGGAGGAACACCUGUGGCGAAGGCGGCCACCUGGAAGAUAACUGACGCUGAGACGCGAAAGCGUGGGGAGCAAACAGG
rnacentral:rRNA from 1 species